GCAAAUCAUUCGAAAGGAUGAGACGCAAAGCUCUGAGUCUAAGGAUAAAAACUUUUAUCUAUGAUCGUCAAGUUGC
rnacentral:ncRNA from 1 species